AUUGAACGCUGGCGGCAAGCCUAACACAUGCAAGUCGAACGAGUGGCGGACGGGUGAGUAAUGUCUGGGAAACUGCCUGAUGGAGGGGGAUAACUACGGGAAACGGUAGCUAAUACCGCAUACCAUCGGAUGUGCCCAUAUGGGCUUAGCGUGUAGGUGGGGUAAAGGCUCACCUAGGCGACGAUCCCUAUCUGGUCUGAGAGGAUGACCAUGCAGAAUGGAACUGUGACACGGUCCAGACUCCUACGGGAGGCAGCAGUGGGGAAUAGUGCACGAUGGACGCAAGCCUGAUGCAGCAAUGCCGCAAGUAUGAAGAAGGCCUUCGGGUUGUAAAGUACUUUCAGCGGGGAGGCGUUACCCGCAGAAGAAGCACCGGCUAACUCCGUGCCAGCAGCCGCGGUAAUUG
rnacentral:rRNA from 1 species